rnacentral:rRNA from 1 species
UACGUAGGGCGCAAGCGUUGUCCGGAAUUAUUGGGCGUAAAGAGCUCGUAGGCGGUUUGUCACGUCGGAUGUGAAAGCCCGGGGCUUAACCCCGGGUCUGCAUUCGAUACGGGCAGACUGGAGUGUGGUAGGGGAGAUCGGAAUUCCUGGUGUAGCGGUGAAAUGCGCAGAUAUCAGGAGGAACACCGGUGGCGAAGGCGGGUCUCUGGGCCGUAACUGACGCUGAGGAGCGAAAGCGUGGGGAGCGAACAGG